GACGAACGCUGGCGGCGUGCUUAACACAUGCAAGUCGAACGGAAAGGCCCCUUUGGGGGUACUCGAGUGGCGAACGGGUGAGUAACACGUGAGUAACCUGCCCUUGACUUCGGGAUAACUUCAGGAAACUGGGGCUAAUACCGGAUAGGAAUCCUUGCUGCAUGGUGGGGGUUGGAAAGCUUCGGCGGUUUUGGAUGGACUCGCGGCUUAUCAGCCUGUUGGUGGGGUAGUGGCUUACCAAGGCUUUGACGGGUAGCCGGCCUGAGAGGGCGACCGGCCACAUUGGGACUGAGAUACGGCCCAGACUCCUACGGGAGGCAGCGGUGGGGAAUAUUGCACAAUGGGCGGAAGCCUGAUGCAGCAACGCCGCGUGCGGGAUGACGGCCUUCGGGUUGUAAACCGCUUUCAGCAGGGGCGAAGCUUGUGGUGACGGUACCUGCAGAAGAAGCACCGGCUAACUACGUG
rnacentral:rRNA from 1 species